rnacentral:lncRNA from 1 species
CUCUCUCUGCUUCCUGAAGGUCAUGUGAGCCAUUUCCCUCUGCCAUACUCUACCUCCAUAAUGCUCUGCCUCAACUUGAGCCCUGAGGAAUGGAGCCAGCUGCCUACGGACUGAGACAGAGAUGGGUGGAGUUGGGGGAAGAGGAGAGAGGAGAUGGAGAGAGUACACACACAUAUUCACACAUGUAUGUACACACAUGCACAAACACACAAUGCACAGCCAUGCAUGCUCAAACAAAUGCACAUACACAUUCACACACAGAGAAAGACAUAUAUGCAUAUGCACAAAAACAGCCACAUGUGUAAGUACAAGCACAAGCAUGUACAAAUAGACAUGCACAUGGACAUACAUGCAUUGGGGCACAUGGACAUACAUGCAUUGGGACACAUGCAUGCAUAGCCACACACCUAAAAAUGCACACAAGCACAAAUAUAUGCAAACAGAGGCAUGCAUAUUAAGUACAAAAUGCACACGUGCAUACAUGUACACACCACGCAAUGUAAACACAACCACACAUGCAUGCACAUGGAGACAAUCACACGCACAGACACAUGUUAUACGUGCACAUGGUCACACAUAUACACACAUGCCAACACACACAUGCAAUAUAUACAGAUAUGUAUCGUGUUUUUACAUGAACACAUGCUUACAAUCAUAGAAGUAUACCUGUGGUAUGCAUGCAUAGAGACAUAUAUGCACAUAGAGACAUAGCCAUAAAUUUACAUGCACAAAUGGAAUGCAUACAUACUUAUGCACACACAUACACAUAUACACACAAAUAAGCACGGUCACUCAUACAAAUGUACACACACACACAGAGUUUACUGCUUAUUGAUGGCUAAACCCUGGAUUGCAGGGUAGACCAAUGGAAUAAAACCUGCAUUGUCAUGAUUAACACAUUCCUCUUUGGGGAUGUUGGUGUCUCCACUUUAACCACUGGUGCUUGAUUAAAUGCACAUGGAGUCGCAUUGAAUAUUAAGAAAGCCAGUUGCUACCUUUGAUUGAAUUUAGUAAAAAAUCGUCCUUGGGCCUGUGUCUUGGUCAGAUCCUGUGAAUGGCACAGAAUAAUGGAGAGGAAGAGAGGAUGUGUGGGGAAGUGUCCAGGCUGGCAGGAGAUGAAUACAGGAGCUUAGCAAUUAAAGUGCAGCUUGCUACAGGCUGUGCUGAGAGACCUGGUGCAGAGGCACCCAGCUGGGGAGCCUUGAGUUUAGAUCCUGAGCCAUCAGACAGUUCUGCUAGAUUCCUUCUGGUGCAUUUGUUAACGGAUUAUAAAACUAUGCUAAGGAAGACUUUGUGGAGGGUGGGGGUUGAAAGGCAGAAGAGGGCCGGAGUCCAGGUUGGGAGGCCUCAGCCAGCGUCCUGGGCUGUCUAUUCACCCUGCACCAGAGGAGCAGCGGCUGGGCUCCUGGGCCCCCGGCGUCCUCAUCUCUGUGGGGAUGAAGCUUUGACAGCAUAGGCCUGCAGUGAGGGUUAGGGAGAAAUGGAUCCAGCAGCACCGGAAACCACCACUUCACCACUACCUGGUUGUUGAUGACGAUUCAAAAGAGGCUGGGAAGAUCCGGGGCUUAUUCUUGGUCAGCGUCCGCUGUGAAUAGUGGCUGUCCCAGUCAGUCCCCAUCUUGGCGUCUUACUCCCCAAAACGCGACUGUCUCACGCCUGAGUUUGUAGGUUGGUUGCA